ACUCGAAGAGCUUGUGGCCACAUUUCCUGAUCGGGGAAAAAAAAUCGUUACUCGUCGGUUAAAUUAGCUCAAAUCAACAAAAAGCAUGUUUUUAUUACUUAUUUUUUUCAGAGAUUGUCAUGAUCUUUCAAUAGAUUUUAUUGCAAGUACGUACGAAAAGUACAAGUUUGAGCUUCGAACGUUGUUUGAUAAAUAUAUCAAGUAUGGGCGACAUUUAUCAAAAAUUGAAAAUAUAUUGAAAUGGUACCAAAUAUCGAACAUAUUCACUGAUGAGCAGCAAUAUCGCAUGAGUCUUUAUUUAGAAAAUGAAUUACUAACGGAACAAGAAAAAGGAAUGCAUACAGAAUUUUUGGACUCUGUGCUAAUACAUGAAUGGGGCUUAAAGAUUUUCAUUAGCGUAUAAAAAUUCGAUAGCCGCGAAGAGGCUCUCGAGCAUGUGAAGCUUCAGGAAGAAAUGAUAAUAUAUAAAAAUGAUUGAUCCACGAACUCGAACGAUCCACGAAGUUCAUCGUAUUCUCAACAGAAAAACGCACAUCCGAAUUCUGCAGGAUUUUCAACACUAUCGACAACUCAGAUGGGAAGACGAUUUGGCAAUGGCAGUUAACGAUGAGUAAUUUCAAAUGCAUUCAGAUUGUUAUACCCACCAUGAUCUUGCAGGGAGAGUGAUUACGUGUGCCAAUCAGCUGGUUCUCUGAUGGCUGUUGCA